CAUUGCUGCCCUGCCGGAUUGAGAAAUCCGAUUCCUUGCAGAGAUUGAGGGGAUAGGGAGCUGAUCCUCAGGCUGGCUUUUGGCAGCGGCAAUUGGGUGAGAUGGGGAGAGGGGAUAUUCCCCCGGAUCCGUUAAAGCCAGCUCUGCUGGGUUUGGGUAUCUCUCUCCAAAAACUGAUCCCGCUGAAGGGGGCUUGAGGAAGCAGCGGGAUGCCCUGGGGGCUGUGCUGGAAGCCCCAGCCCCGGUGAGGAAUGCUGGGCAGUGCCGGCUCCGAGGGGACCCGGAACAGGGAACAGCCCCGCUUCGGCCCCGGGAGAGGGGGCGGGCCGCGAGCGAUGGCCCCGCCCCAGCCCGGGCAGGACGGGGCGCCGGGGAGGGAGCGGGCGGGGCCGGGCGGGGAUUGAGGGGCGGGGCCGGGCCCGACUCAGGUGCGCGGGGCCCCAGUGCGGCUGCGCGGGCCGGGGCCUAUUUCUAUGCGGCCGAUCCGCUCCCGGCCCGUUCCAUUCGGGAACACUCGUGCUGGGAUGCGGCGGGAUCCUCGUCGGAGCGCUGUGCCAGGGACAGCUCCCGGUUCUGCGCGAAUCCUGGGGCGCUCAGGUCACAGGAUAUACUGGGAUUGAGAGGGUUCCUAAAAUCCGACUCUCGAGGACACGGCCCGUGGGAGAAUUGAACUCACAACCUUGGCACUACCUGGACUGUGCUCCGACUGACUGAGCCCUCUGCAUCACAGCUGCGGGGAACAGGGGGCAGGAGGAGGCCAGGAGUCCCCGAAAGGCAUCCAGCACCUCUUGUCCAUGGGCCCUCGGGGCAGGGGCUGUGCCUGCAGCGUCCUGCCCGUGCCGAGCACACGGCCCGGGAUGGGCGCUGGGUGCCCGGCCGGCGCUGGCACGGACACGGCUCAAGGGCUGCCCAUGGCUCCCGGGCCAGGGGCUGCUCUGAGCAGGCUCCUGGAGAUGUUUCAGCCUGGAUACAGGCCACUGACAGCCCAAAAGCAGCCCAAGGAGCAGCUGGCGUGUCCUGGUGAUGGUGGCACGGGCUGCGUGCAGAGGGGCUCAGACAGCAAUUCCUGGUUCCAGCCUCCCAGAGCUCCCAGGCAGCUGC